CAUGGACUUCAGGGUGAAAAAUCCCUCAUGUAGGCUUUUCCAAAAAAGAAGAGUUGACUGGCUUAAACUGAUAAUUGUGUAUUAUUAGCCUUAAUACUUGGCAACCCUGUGAGAGGAAUUCUGUUGCAGAGCAGAGAAAGCCAUCAUCAGAACCAAGAAGACUGGGAUCCAAGGCCUGUCUCUGACUGUAUGACCAGUCAUUUAACUGAUCAAUGUCCCAGGAAGCUCUAUACAAAGGAGUUGCAGAUGGAUAUAUGGAUAAAGGGAAUUCCUCAUAUCAGUGAAAACACAAGCCCACUCCAUAUCCUUCUAUACAUUAUAGGUGUUGUCUCUGUCUCUCUUCCUCCCUUCCUUCCUUCCUUCCUUCCUUCCUCCCUUCCUCCCUCCCUCCCUCUCUCUCUCUCUCUCUCUCUCUCUCUCUCUCUCUCUCUCUCUCUCUCUCUCUCUCUCUCUCUUUCUUUCUUUUUCUUUCUCUCCUUCCUUCCUUCCUUCCUUCCUUCCUUCCUUCCUUCCUUCCUUCCUUCCUUCCUUCCUUCCUUCCUUCCUUCCUUCCUUCCUUUGUUCCUUCAUGUGCAGGUGUGUGUGUCUGUAUGUGUCUUAAUACACAGAAGUCAGAAGACAAAAAAUUAUAAUAGAACUCAUCACCAUUGUGCUCUAGCUGGAACCAGGUGUAGGAGCUGUAGACUGUAAAUGAUCAACAGAAUCCAUGCCUUGGUUAAAGACAGAAUAUCAUUCUGGCUAACUUUGUAGUAGGGACGAAUAAUUAGAAAAAUCAUUUCUAAAAUAUAUAUGGUGGUUCUAAUUAGCUGUCAAUUAUCAUUGCUGAUUGCUUCUUUGUUUAAAUAAGGUCUUUUUCAUUUUUCAGUGCUGUAAAUCUGUGAAGGUAUUUGCUGAGACAGGCAACCACAGAUAAAAGAUCUGGCUUUGGAGACAAGAUUCAAGUUCUGCGUUCAAGUCCUGCCUUUGAUACACAUUGGCUGUGUGACUAUGGGCAAAUCACUCAACCUCUCAGUUUCCUCAGGUUAGUCUCUAGGGCUCCAAGUGGCAACAUAGUUAGUGCCCUGUGUUGGCUGAAUGAUUUUUCUCACCAGGAGUUCUCUAUACGAAUAGAAACAGAGAUGUAGAAGCACAUGCAAAUCCCCUGGCCCUCUUUCCCUUCUGUGCAGAUGUAGAAAACUAUGAGCAUCAUUGUAUCUACUGUCCAAGUAGGUGCAUCAUUUAGUUGUACUGAGCUACCUCCAGCCCUUUUACAAUCUUUGUUGCAAGAGAUAACUGUUUGACAAUUGAGAGGGGAUAUUAGGAAAUGAUUCAAUUAAAAAAACAAAAGACAUCAAUAAAAGGAAACAUUGGAAAAAGGGGUUGAGACCU
rnacentral:lncRNA from 1 species